UGGGGAAUUUUGGACAAUGGGCGAAAGCCUGAUCCAGCAAUGCCGCGUGCAGGAUGAAGGCCCUCGGGUUGUAAACUGCUUUUGUACGGAACGAAAAGCCUGGGGCUAAUAUCCCCGGGUCAUGACGGUAACGUAAGAAUAAGCACCGGCUAACUACGUGCCAGCAGCCGCGGUAAUACGUAGGGUGCAAGCGUUAAUCGGAAUUACUGGGCGUAAAGCGUGCGCAGGCGGUUUUGUAAGACAGUGGUGAAAUCCCCGGGCUCAACCUGGGAACUGCCAUUGUGACUGCAAAGCUAGAGUGCGGCAGAGGGGGAUGGAAUUCCGCGUGUAGCAGUGAAAUGCGUAGAUAUGCGGAGGAACACCGAUGGCGAAGGCAAUCCCCUGGGCCUGCACUGACGCUCAUGCACGAAAGCGUGGGGAGCAAA
rnacentral:rRNA from 1 species